rnacentral:rRNA from 1 species
GAUGAACGCUGGCGGCGUGCCUAAUACAUGCAAGUCGAGCGAACAGACGAGGAGCUUGCUCCUCUGACGUUAGCGGCGGACGGGUGAGUAACACGUGGAUAACCUACCUAUAAGACUGGGAUAACUUCGGGAAACCGGAGCUAAUACCGGAUAAUAUAUUCCACCGCAUGGUUCAAUAGUGAAAGAGGGUUUUUCUUUCUCUUAUAGCUGGAUCCGCGUCGCAUUAGCUAGUUGGUAAGGUAACAGCUUACCAAGGCAACGAUGCGCAGCCGACCUGAGAGAGUGAUCGGCCACCCGGGAACUGGGACAGGGACCAGACUCCUACGGGAGGCAGCAGUAGGGAAUCUUCCGCAGUGGGCGAAAGCCUGACGGAGCAACGCCGCGUGUGUGAUGAAGGUCUUCGGAUCGUAAAACUCUGUUAUUAGGGAAGAACAAAUGUGUAAGUAACUAUGCACGUCUUGACGGUACCUGAUCAGAAAGCCACGGCUAACUACGUG